rnacentral:tRNA from 1 species
CGCGGUGUAGCUCAAUGGCAGAGCACCGGGUUCAUGCCCCGGAUGUCGCAGGUUCGAUUCCUGCCAUCGCAACCA